CCUACGGGAGGCAGCAGUGGGGAAUAUUGGACAAUGGGCGAAAGCCUGAUCCAGCAAUGCCGCGUGAGUGAUGAAGGCCUUAGGGUUGUAAAGCUCUUUUACCAGGGAUGAUAAUGACAGUACCUGGAGAAUAAGCUCCGGCUAACUCCGUGCCAGCAGCCGCGGUAAUACGGAGGGAGCUAGCGUUGUUCGGAAUUACUGGGCGUAAAGCGCACGUAGGCGGCUAUUCAAGUCAGAGGUGAAAGCCCGGGGCUCAACUCCGGAACGGCCUUUGAAACUAGGUAGCUAGAAUCUUGGAGAGGUCAGUGGAAUUCCGAGUGUAGAGGUGAAAUUCGUAGAUAUUCGGAAGAACACCAGCGGCGAAGGCGACUGACUGGACAAGUAUUGACGCUGAGGUGCGAAAGCGUGGGGAGCAAGCAGGAUUAGAUACCCUGGUAGUCCACGCCGUAAACGAUGAUAACUAGCUGUCCGGGCACUUGGUGCCUGGGUGGCGCNGCUACGACAUUAAGUUAUCCGUCCGUCGGGUAGGUACGGUCGCGAAGAAUUAAAACGUUAAAACGGUAAGUUAGACGGCGUGAGACGUGCCGACGGACGACGACGAGGGAGGUAGG
rnacentral:rRNA from 1 species